rnacentral:lncRNA from 1 species
AUGGAAUGGGAGGAUCUGUUGUGCUGUGGUUUCCAUGGGAGCAGGGUGCCCUACAGCCCAAGGCUGGGGCCCUGCAGCUGCCCAGCCCACCACAGAGCUUCUCAUCCCCCUUUGUUUCAGCACCCUCAUCUACCUGAGCUCGCUGGUCUCCUUCCUUUCUACCAGCGUUGCCUACGGCUGAAGGAACACAUCGGCUCCCACGGCGUCUGGUGCCUCUGCCUCUUCAUGAUGGUCACCAUGAGCUGUGCCAUGGCAGUCCCGCUGUUCUUCUUAAUCUACCUGGUGAUCAUCCCCAUGUGGACCGUCAUCAUGGUGCUGAUGUUCUUCAUCAUGAUGACCUUCCUCGCCAGUGUCUGCCUGAGCCUGAUUCAGCCCUGGAUCCCCUCCAUCUCCCAAGCACUGCAUACUUCGUGGUUGCAGGUAUGGCUGCAGGGCACGGAGCAUCUCGCCAGCCCGGCAGGAGGAUGUAGGAUGUGGCUGGACCCCAAGCCCAGAUCGGGGAGGCAGCCCCACGCAUCGAUGCUCUGCAUGACUUGGUCCCACCACACAUGCACGGGGAUCUCCAUCGCUGCACACACUCCCCUCUCGGUGCCGGAUGCACGGGUGACACCCAGCACCACUGACCCACCUCCACCUGCACCGAGCCCCCAGCCCCAUCACCAUGCCCAGGCCCACAUGGGGCCAGGACAAGUCCAUCGCCCCAUCCUGCUGUGGGUGGCAUGCAAUGGGGCUAGGAGUCACCACCCCAGAGCUGCCCCGCGGUGACACACAAGGAUCUGGUCCCUGCAGCCCAUGGCCCUAAGCCCUCCCUGCGCUGGCAGGACAGGACAUGCCUGCGACUUGCUUGCCCUGACCUGCCCUGGAAGCUGGUGGACAUGGGUGUGGAGAAGGAAAAUGCAGUGGGAUGGGGAAGCCCAGGGUACCCCCAACUUCUCCUGUUAUUCCAGACCCUAUACCCACUUGGGGUGGGCAUGGACCACACCAGGGUCCGUGGCCACUCUUCUCCCCUGUCACCCUUCUCCACACAGGUUGCUACCAUGGCCAAAAUCUGGCACAACAAGCAGGAGUCGAUGGCAGGUGAGCAUUCCCUGGCAUGGGCAAGACACUGCAGGGUGGGGACAAGGCACUGGGCAAGCCUCACCAGCUCAAACUUAGCUCCAGACCCCUGGGAUACUCCAGGGCAGAGCAGCACCAGGCACGGGGAGCCCCUUUCCUGCCCCAAACCCCUUCAGCAGAGAAGGAAAGUGGAGCACUGAGACAGGAGCUGUGGCACCUGGGGCAUGGGGGUGGUUUGAAGGCUCACAGCCCCCUUGGCAUUUGGGGGAGAGGUAGCUGUUUUGCCCCAAGGAGCUGGUGAAGGGGGCAGCGGCAGCACUGGCAAAUCUCCCCAUUUGCUUGGUCAGCUUUUUUAUUUAAAAAAAAAAACCACAACUGUUUGACCAUUGAAAUCCUGCCCAAAAAAAAAAAGCCAAGCGGACCCUCUCAGCGUGCCUGUGUUGCCCACGCUGCUGCUUUGUCAGCGUUCCCCAAUACUUGGAAAAGUAUUUGCUCAAAAUGCAAAUAUUUGCACAGGUUUUUGGGCAGUUUUCCACCCGUCUCUAAUUCCCCGCGGUUAUGGCUGGAGGGGCUGACCCUGGUGAGCAUGGUGGGCUCCCAGACAAACAUCCCUGGCUUCACCAUGGCCAGGACAUGGCAGGGAAGGAAAAUCCUCCUUCAAAGCCGUGGUAGGAGCUGGUAGAAGGCCAAAACGUGUUCCUCCUCAUGCUCUCCUCUCCCACCCAGGGCCUGGGGCCAUGGUCGACAGCGAAGACUCUGAAUGAGACUCUCACACCCAGCUCAGGUUGUGAUCCAGCCAGAGAAGCGGACAAUAAAGACCUUCACUCCAAGCUUCUGGUAACUGAU